GACGAACGCUGGCGGCGUGCUUAACACAUGCAAGUCGAACGGAAAGGCCCUGCUUUUGUGGGGUGCUCGAGUGGCGAACGGGUGAGUAACCCGUGAGUAACCUGCCCUUGACUUUGGGAUAACUUCAGGAAACUGGGGCUAAUACCGGAUAGGAGCUCCUGCUGCAUGGUGGGGGUUGGAAAGUUUCGGCGGUUGGGGAUGGACUCGAGGCUUAUCAGCUUGUUGGUGGGGUAGUGGCUUACCAAGGCUUUGACGGGUAGCCGGCCGGAGAGGGUGACCGGCCACAAUGGGGCUGAGGUACGGCCCAGACGCCUACGGGGGGCAGCAGUGGUGAAUAUUGCACAAUGGGCGGAAGCCUGAUGCAGCAACGCCGCGGGCGGGAUGACGGCCUUCGGGAUGUAAUCCGCUUUCGCCUGUGACGAAGCGGGAGUGACGGUAAUGGGUAAAGAAGCACCGGCUAACUACGUG
rnacentral:rRNA from 1 species